rfam:Schistosoma curassoni strain Dakar, Senegal genome assembly, scaffold: SCTD_contig0002824
ACCCAGCUGACGAGUCCAAAAUGGGGCGAAAUGCAUGUCCUGGAU